rnacentral:rRNA from 1 species
CCUACGGGUGGCAGCAGUGGGGAAUAUUGUACAAUGGGCGAAAGCCUGAUGCAGCAACGCCGCGUGAGCGAUGAAGGCCUUCGGGUCGUAAAGCUCUGUCCUCAAGGAAGAUAAUGACGGUACUUGAGGAGGAAGCCCCGGCUAACUACGUGCCAGCAGCCGCGGUAAUACGUAGGGGGCUAGCGUUAUCCGGAAUUACUGGGCGUAAAGGGUGCGUAGGUGGUUUCUUAAGUCAGAGGUGAAAGGCUACGGCUCAACCGUAGUAAGCCUUUGAAACUGGGAAACUUGAGUGCAGGAGAGGAGAGUGGAAUUCCUAGUGUAGCGGUGAAAUGCGUAGAUAUUAGGAGGAACACCAGUUGCGAAGGCAGCUUACUAAACUGCCACUGACAUUGAUGCUCGAAAGUGUGGGUAUCAAACAGGAUUAGAUACCCUUGUAGUC